GACGUAGGGCGCGAGCGUUUGUCCGGAUUUAUUGGGCGUAAAGAGCUCGUAGGCGGCUUGUCGCGUCGUCCGUGAAAACCCACAGCUCAACUGUGGGCUUGCGGUCGAUACGGGCAGGCUAGAGUUCGGUAGGGGAGACUGGAAUUCCUGGUGUAGCGGUGAAAUGCGCAGAUAUCAGGAGGAACACCGGUGGCGAAGGCGGGUCUCUGGGGUAGUAACUGACGCUGAGGAACGAAAGCGUGGGUAGCGAACAGG
rnacentral:rRNA from 1 species